rnacentral:lncRNA from 1 species
CGGAUUCAAAGGAUUAGUGCACCGUUCAAGGCAACAUAACAACAUUCCUUUGGAAGGACCUUUCCCUUUGGGGGUAGGAAAAUCAUGAUCGGGAUAGCGGACCCAAAGCUAUGGAAUUUGGGCGUGGGUCUUUUGUCGAAAUGGAAUGGCCUUACUUUUUCUUUUGAUUUAUUUAUCGUUAAUGACGGCUUAAUUAAGUAUAGUAUGCCCGGCCCUAAUCAGCAUAUUUUUUUGUUUUACGGUGGAACUCUAUGAACAAAUAAAAAAACACAAAGGAUUAAACUUGUUUAUUUUACUUA